ACAGGAAGCUCCUUGGGGUAAACUCCCUAGUGGCUGUGCCGCCAGAUCCCAUAGGUCUGAGCCCUCAGCCUCCAGGAAGCACCCAGAGUGCCCCAUUUGAGAGCCUCUCCCUUCUGAAAGCUGUGAGACAGGAGAAUCGAACAGCUAAAGGCAAGCAGGGAGGGCUUCAGCUGUCACAGAACGGCCGGUGGCUUUGAGGUCAGUUGUGCAGGUUGCAGUUUUUCUGGCUGCCCCAGCCACAUUCCCUGCUGAAGGUGCUAAGACUGGGAGAAUGAGAUGCCAGAGUGACAGAGAAGACUCUGCCCUCCCCGGAGUCAGGGCUCCUGUGAGGAUGUUCCUCACUGUGCUGGCUCGCUCGCUUGGCUUGAGACAUUCUCUUCCCUCCUCAUUUUGUAUGAUGAUGAGCUCGGCUCACCGUCGUGAUUAAAAAUGGUUAACAUUUAUUAAA